rnacentral:rRNA from 1 species
GAUGAACGCUAGCUACAGGCUUAACACAUGCAAGUCGAGGGGAAACGAUAGAGAAAGCUUGCUUUUUCUAGGCGUCGACCGGCGCACGGGUGAGUAACGCGUAUCCAACCUGCCCAUCACUUGGGGAUAACCUUGCGAAAGUAAGACUAAUACCCAAUGAUAUCUCUAGAAGACAUCUGAAAGAGAUUAAAGAUUUAUCGGUGAUGGAUGGGGAUGCGUCUGAUUAGCUUGUUGGCGGGGUAACGGCCCACCAAGGCGACGAUCAGUAGGGGUUCUGAGAGGAAGGUCCCCCCACAUUGGAACUGAGACACGGUCCAAACUCCUACGGGAGGCAGCAGUGAGGAAUAUUGGGUCAAAUUGGGACGAGAGUCUGAACCAGCCAAGUAGCGUGCAGGAUGACGGCCCUAUGGGUGUAAACUGCUUUUAUAAGGGAAUAAAGUGAGUCUCGUGAGGC